GACAAACGCUGGCGGCGUGCUUAACACAUGCAAGUCGAACGGUACUCCUACGGGAGUAUAGUGGCGGACGGGUGAGUAACACGUAGCUAAUCUACCCUGAUGUGGGGAAUAACCCCUCGAAGAGGAGCUAAGACCGCAUAAGUUCUCUCUUGUUAGAGAGAGAAGAAACUUUAGGCAGUGAAAAGACCAGAGGCGUUAGGAUGAGGCUGCGGCGGAUUAGCUAGAUGGUGGGGAAAAGGACCUCCAUGGCGACGAUCCGUAGCUGGUCUGAGAGGACGACCAGCCACACUGGGACUGAGACACGGCCCAGACUCCUACGGGAGGCAGCAGUGAGGAAUAUUCCACAAUGGGCGCAAGCCUGAUGGAGCGACGCCGCGU
rnacentral:rRNA from 1 species